rnacentral:rRNA from 1 species
GAUUCGGCCAAUUGGUCCAUCUUUUAGAUGAGUACUGGUUGUGUUGGGUCUAUCCGCCUGGUGAUACGUAAUGUCCUUUAUUGGAUGUUGCGGGUAGUCAGGACCUUUACCUUGAAAAAAUUAGAGUGUUUAAAGCAGGCUCACGCUUGAAUACAUUAGCAUGGAAUAAUAGAAUAGGACGAAGUUGUUUUAUUUUGUUGGUUUCUAGGACAACCGUA